UAGGGAAUCCUCCGCAAUGGACGAAAGUCUGACGGAGCAACGCCGCGUGAGUGAUGAAGGUUUUCGGAUCGUAAAACUCUGUUGUUAGGGAAGAACAAGUACCGUUCGAAUAGGGCGGCACCUUGACGGUACCUAACCAGAAAGCCACGGCUANCCACGNG
rnacentral:rRNA from 1 species